AUUGAACGCUGGCGGCAUGCCUAACACAUGCAAGUCGAGCGGAUGAAAGGGGCUUGCUCCUGGAUUCAGCGGCGGACGGGUGAGUAAUACGCAGGAAUCUACCUAGUAGUGGGGGAUAACGUUUCGAAAGGGACGCUAAUACCGCAUACGUUCUGAGGAAGAAAGCAGGGGAUCGUAAGACCUUGCGCUAUUAGAUGAGCUUGCGUCCGAUUAGCUAGUUGGUGGGUAAAGGCCUACCAAGGCGACGAUCGGUAACUGGUCUGAGAGGAUGAUCAGUCACACUGGAACUGAGACACGGUCCAGACUCCUACGGGAGGCAGCAGUGGGGAAUAUUGGACAAUGGGGGCAACCCUGAUCCAGCCAUGCCGCGUGUGUGAAGAAGGCCU
rnacentral:rRNA from 1 species